rnacentral:lncRNA from 1 species
UUUAAAACAAUUAGCAAUCUCCACUGUUAGAAGGAAAUUGAAUGCAUUAAAAAUCAUUAUUAUCAGCACAAUAACACAAACAGAAAAUAACUUCUCCCUGUUAAUUAAAUUGUAUAAGCAUGGUAAUAAUAUUGAAAAUGAAAGCAUGACUUCAAUGAUUAGUAAAAAUAGAAACAAACCACGAUAGCAAAUAGCACAUAGCAGCAACAAGUGACAAACAAGUUCCAGCCCCUAUCAACCCUUUUUUUGUAGCAUUAUAAGACCAACAUUACAACACAGGCUAAACUUCAGGCGCCAAGUAAAUUCCAACACAAUAAUUCUUAAACCUUCCCCUUCCCAGGAGACUCCAAAUUCUCUCCCAAUGCUCGAAUUAGGCCAUCCUUCAAGUAAUUGGUUCAAACUGUUUGCAGUUUAGUCAUGUAAACAACCUGUUGAGAAAUACGACUCGAUAGUCUGUAACACAAAUGAAGUUGUUGACUUCUCUUACUAUUAGUUCCUAAAUUAAAUAGAGUAUCUCUAUUGUUCAAAUCAGAUAAACAGUUAUUCAAACUAAAUAAAGGGCAAGCAUUAUGGGAUAGCAAGUUAUCUGGAUGUUUAUCCAUAGACUGGAUUGGAUGUUUUAUCCAUAGACUGGAUAUCUAGAUGAAUUAAAAUCCUAAGGACAUGGUAUCUAUGUGCUUGCGAACAUCCUAGCAGUAAUGUUAUAGCCAACAAAGCAAACAAAUAUAACUCUUAGCUUUCCGACAUACUAUCCACAACUGGACAUGUAGUAUAUUAGGUCAUUUAAUCCUAAACAUGGUGUCUAAGUGACAAAACAAGUGCAUUGAUUUCGGCAAGGUAGCUUUAAACAUAUAAGACCGGCAAACAACCUUAAGGUUUAACGGAUGAAGUUUUGACAAUCCAAUGUCGCCUUUUAUUAACUAAGAAAUACUUACUGAAAUGAUAUCCAUGCAACAUGAAUUCAGCUAUAUUCAAAGAGUGACGAUCAUGGAACUUACAAAUAUCAUUCGAAGUCUUUUAGGCAGAAUUCCUAAACUAAAUCGAAGAUAAGUUGAUGCUACUCUUAUUUAUCCAAUCUUUAAUCCUAAUUAAAAGAAAUGAUUUCCUAGUUACCAGAAUGCCAGAACAAAUCCUAAAGACCUUUAUAGUUUAGGUUGUCUCAUAUUCAAAACAUCACACGUAAAAUCAAAAGAUCAAAAACACACCUGGAUUUGAGAGGCGUACCUGGUUAUUAUAUGGGCAUAAUUUCAAUAGAGUGCCGCAUGGCACUCGGCAUGGCCAAGAGUAUACAGAACACACAAAUAGAGUAAAGAAAACAAAAGCUGAAGAGGAGGACUAGUCUAUUCUAACAAUAACUAACACGUAAAGGAAUCAGUAAUGCGUCGUUCAGAAAACUAACCAGUUCGAAAGCGGAACAACAAUAUAAUAAGAAGAUUAGAAAUCCAGUAACUUCAAUAACAACAAAUAAGCCCAAAUACUCUUCGGAGUGUGCAUAAUGAAGAACCAAUACUCGAACUCGAAACGUGAACGAAUAUCAAGACUAGAACUUUGUAUUUGGAUGAAUAUAAAAAUUAAAGCUCUGCCUCGAUUUGUACUCGGAAGAACAGAGGAGCAGUAAAAGUAAAAGAAUAGCUAUAGUAGUAGUGAAAACCAUCCUCCUCUUAGUGCAUAGAACUAGUCAGUAUUUAUAGUAGCGAAUUAGCCUUAGGGCGUGUCAUUAUAGUGGAAAAGAAUCAUAAAACUACAUAUCCAAUAACGAAAGAUUCAGAAUUUUUUAAAAAUAUCAAAAUAUUCGUUAAGCAAGGAUUCGGGGACUGAAGCGAAAUUGGAGUACUAAAAAAUGAACCGUUGGUGAUUAAUUUUGGCAGAAAAAGAUUAUGAUUAUGGGAAAACUUCGCUUUACAUAAUCGAAAAAAUCAGAAGAGAAUAUUGAUAAUUCAAUUUUCAAAACUCAAUCCAAUCGAUAAGAGAAAAUGAAGAAUAGGUGAAGUGCUUACCUCAAAACCUGUCCAUGUUCAUUUAACUAAUUUGAACCUACGGAUGUCGAAAUGGAAAGAAGAGCAUGCAAAUCUUCAAUCAUGACAGUAAUUUAGACUAAAAUUGGGGCUAAAAUCUUGGCUCCCAAUCGCAAUUUCUUUAAAGAUUUUGAAGAGGAAAAGAAUUGAGGAAAGAGAGUUAAAAAGAAUAUUUUUAAAAAAGGAAACAAAUCAAAGAAUUGGGGAAAGGUGUUGGCGAGGUGCUGGCGAAAUCGUAGGGGGAAGAUG